rnacentral:rRNA from 1 species
GAUGAACGCUGGCGGCGUGCCUAAUACAUGCAAGUCGAACGAAGAUCUAGCUUGCUAGAUCUUAGUGGCGAACGGGUGAGUAAUACAUAAAUAAUCUGCCCAUAUGACUGGGAUAACUAUUGGAAACGAUAGCUAAUACCGGAUAGGUUGAUCGGAGGCAUCUCUGAUGAAUUAAAGUAGGAUUUCUACACAAAUGGAUGAGUUUAUGGCGCAUUAGUUAGUUGGUGGGGUAACGGCCUACCAAGACGAUGAUGCGUAGCCGACCUGAGAGGGUGACCGGCCACACUGGGACUGAGACACGGCCCAGACUCCUACGGGAGGCAGCAGUAGGGAAUUUUCGGCAAUGGGCGCAAGCCUGACCGAGCAACGCCGCGUGAGUGAUUAAGGCCUUCGGGUUGUAAAGCUCUGUUGUAAGGGAAGAACAUUCAGGAUAGGAAAUGAUCUUGAACUGACGGUACCUUACCAGAAAGCCACGGCUAACUACGUGCCAGCCGCCGCAGUAAAAC